UACGGAGGGUGCAAGCGUUAUCCGGAUUCACUGGGUUUAAAGGGAGCGUAGGUGGGUUGGUAAGUCAGUGGUGAAAUCCCCGAGCUUAACUUGGGAACUGCCAUUGAUACUAUCAGUCUUGAAUACUGUGGAGGUUAGCGGAAUAUGUCAUGUAGCGGUGAAAUGCUUAGAUAUGACAUAGAACACCAAUUGCGAAGGCAGCUGGCUACACAAUUAUUGACACUGAUGCUCGAAAGCGUGGGGAUCAAACAGG
rnacentral:rRNA from 1 species